rnacentral:rRNA from 1 species
AAGUCGUAACAAGGUCUCCGUUGGUGAACCAGCGGAGGGAUCAUUACCGAGUUUACAACUCCCAAACCCAUGUGAACAUUACCUCUAUGUUGCUUCGGCGGAGCCGCCCCGGCGCCCGGAACCCCUGCGGUCCCGCGGCCCGGAACCAAGGCGCCCGCCGGAGGCCACAAACUCUUCUGUUUUUACAGUUUCUUCUGAGUGUGCCGCAAGGCAGUAUACAAAUGAAUCAAAACUUUCAACAACGGAUCUCUUGGUUCUGGCAUCGAUGGAGAACGCAGCGAAAUGCGAUAAGUAAUGUGAAUUGCAGAAUUCAGUGAAUCAUCGAAUCUUUGAACGUACAUUGCGCCCGCCAGAAUUCUGGCGGGCAUGCCUGUUCGAGCGUCAUUUCAACCCUCGAGCUCCCCUUUCGGGGGAGCCCGGCGUUGGGGACCCGGCGCUAACAACGCCGGCCCCGAAAUGGAGUGGCGGCCCGUCCGCGGCGACCUCUGCGUAGUAACAACCACUCGCACCGGGACCCGGGCGCGGCCACGCCGUAAAACACCCCACCUUCCGAAUGUUGACCUCGAAUCAGGUAGGAACACCCGCUGAACUUAA